GACGAACGCUGGCGGCGUGCUUAACACAUGCAAGUCGAACGGAAAGGCCCUGCUUUUGUGGGGUGCUCGAGUGGCGAACGGGUGAGUAACACGUGAGUAACCUGCCCUUGACUUUGGGAUAACUUCAGGAAACUGGGGCUAAUACCGGAUAGGAGCUCCUGCUGCAUGGUGGGGGUUGGAAAGUUUCGGCGGUUGGGGAUGGACUCGCGGCUUAUCAGCUUGUUGGUGGGGUAGUGGCUUACCAAGGCUUUGACGGGUAGCCGGCCUGAGAGGGUGACCGGCGACAAUGGGACUGAGAGACGGCCCAGACUGCUACGGGGGGCAGCAGUGGGGAGUAUUGCACAAUGGGCGGAAGCGUGAUGCAGCAACGCCGCGUGCGGGAUGCCGGCCUUUGGGUUGUAAACCGCUUUCGCCUGUGACGAAGCGUGAGUGACGGUAAUGGGUAAAGAAGCACCGGCUAACUACGUG
rnacentral:rRNA from 1 species